GCCACUAUAGCUCAGUGGUUAGAGCAAUGGUCUUGUAAACCAGGGGGCGUGAGUUUCGUGAGUUCAAUCCUCUCUGGUGGCU